rnacentral:rRNA from 1 species
UACGGAGGGUGCGAGCGUUGUCCGGAAUCACUGGGCGUAAAGGGCGCGUAGGUGGCGCAGAAGUCAACGGUGAAAGUUCGGGGCUCAACCCUGAAUCGGCCGUCGAUACUCCUGGGCUCGAGCACUGUAGGAGGCAGAUGGAAUUCCGGGUGUAGCGGUGGAAAUGCGUAGAGAUCGGAAGAACACCGGUGGCGAAGGCGGUCUGCUGGGCAGUGCUGACACUUGAGGCGCGACACGUGGGAGCAACAGGGAUAAGAACCAUUGUACGUACCAGC